CCGAGCAAGCGUCCCAGUCCUCGAAGGUGACUCUGCGGAAGAACAGCUUCCGACAGAAACUUCGGAACAGAUUCAAGAACUGUCGAAAGCCACUGAGCAUUGAGCAACGCCGUCAUCGACACGGAAAGACGAGCCAGGGGCAUCGUCGUGAAAAAGCGUGCGGCAGCUGAAGAGGGGAUGCCGGGGAUGUUUCCCAAAACGAAGAAGUCGAAGCUAGACAUCUGCACCGAAACCGCCAAGUUCAGUGCCAAGCUAAAGCACGCCGAUGUCACUCACAAGACAUCUGUUCUCAAAGAUUCCUUCGAGGUUCGGCGGAUAUGCCUCACGAGCAACCGAAACCGGAAGACUGGCGAGGAGAUGAAGGAGAUAUUCCCGGAUAUGUACAGCGAAGCUGCCGUGUGGACUGACUUGGGAAUGAUCAUGGGGCUCGAGGAG
rnacentral:lncRNA from 1 species